rnacentral:lncRNA from 1 species
AAGGAAGGUGGCGAACGCAGGAGGGGCAGCCGUGUCCAGUGCUGCACUGUGUCCGGUGGCAGAGGCCUGUGCCAGUGGGAAGAUGGGCUCAAGUUCCCUGGUGUGAAGAGAAGACAAAAUGCUGCCCUCCGCACCUCUUUCAGGAAAUCCUCCUGUAUUAUAUUUUGAAUGCAGCUCCCUCCACCAUCUGGGAUGGAGUCAUUGCUUUACAGCAGUCAUAGCUGCUGUCAUGAAAGAUGAAGCUGGUCUCCAGGACACUAGGAGGUUGCAAAGAGCCACAUGAGUUUAUUGGAUAUGACAGAAUUUCUCCAAGUGGGGAAGCUAAAUUAAGCAAAUGAGUCUUGCACCGUCACCCAGGCUGGCGUGCAAUGGUGCCAUCUCGGCUCACUGCAACUUCCGUCUCCCAGGUUCACGCGAUUCUCCUGUCUCAGCCUCCCGAGUAGCUGUGAUUACAGGCGCGCACUACCACAUCCGGCUAAUUCUUUGUACUUUUAGUAGAGACAGGGUUUCGCUCUGUUGGCCACACUGGUCUGGAACUACUGACCUCAUGAUCUGCCCGCUUCGGCCUCCCAAAGUGCUGGGAUUACAGGCAUGAACCACCAUGCCCGGCCAGAAAACCCUAUUGUUAACGGGAAAGUAAUAUUGUAACGAUAUCUGUUCUCCCAAAAUUAAAAUACAAAUUUAAUACAGUUCCAACUAGCACCCCAGUAAGUUAUUUUAUAGAAUUUGGCUUGCUGUUUCUGAAGUCCACGUAGAACUGAAAAUGAGCAAGAAGAACCAAGACAGAAAAAGUGAAAUU